UGUGACCAAAAGGUAAGCGACUCUUAAGAGUUUCAUUUCCAAAGACAAGUCAUCACAGAAUAUUACAAUUCUUCCUUAGCAAACCUGCCCCUCAGUCUGCCCCUGAGCAACAACUUUGCGCAUGCCCAUUUCAACGCAUCGCUGAAACUGGGGUUUCAGAAGAGAUUUUGCAGGGGUUCAACACCGUCUUGUACGCAUUGGAUUUCAACUGGAAAUUAGCUACUUCAAAGAUUAUCCUACCACCGUCACACGGCCUAGCACUGUGUCCCUGGGAAAUAAUGAUUCCAUACCCCUAGAUGUCAACUCUGGUCUGGUGGAGGUGAACCAAUUGGGGGCCCAGGAAAACAGCUGGCAGCCAGGCAAGUGCAAAUAAGACACUCAAAAAAAGAUAUGCUUUGUAUACAACCAUUCAAGGUAACAUUUGUUAUUUACAUCAAUGUUACAGCUAAUCUAGAAGAACCACAGUGUAUGCCAAUCAUGCUAACUCUUGUAAACUUGUUUUACUUUUUCUUUUCUUUUUUGUCUUUAAUGACAGACACAUUAC